rnacentral:lncRNA from 1 species
UGGAGUUUUGAGUAGAAUGGACUUUAUUAAAAAUUUGGAAAUAGUAUAUUUACAUCGAAACAAUGCAGACAUAGUUUAAAAAGUGAAUGUAAUUAGAUAGACCUGUCUUAAGAUCUUCCCCUCCAAUGGGGAAUCUUCACAGACUGCCCGACCUCUCGGUGUGUCUCAGCCUUAUUCCAUCCUGCUCUUCUCUCUUCCCUCCUGCUCCUUGAUUGCCCAACAGGACCAUACAUUCUUCCUCUGGAACACAAAGCAGUUCAGCUCUGCCUGCUCUCACUCAGUCUCCGAGGUUGGCAUCUGACUGUCCUCCCUCAUAAAUCUGCACCACGGCUCAGCAGAGCGGAAAAGCAAUCCAUGAAGCAGCAAUUCAUCCUAUCAGAUGCUCCAGCCUCAGAACCUAUGAAUGCCCAUGGGAGACAAGUUUUCCCACAUAUAAAGGAUCUUGAAGAGUUGGUGGAGGUGGAAAAGCAGAAACGAUGUGUAGAGAACACACAGUGCAGCCAAUAAACCUGUGGAAAUUCUUCAAACUCAACUGGUACAUAACGAAUCAAGCUGAAAUAAAACAGGUUUCACACACAAAGAUCUACAAGGCUGUCAAAAUGUAAUGUCAGAAAGUGUGUGAAGAAAUGAACACUGUCUUUUCAGUGGUAAAUUGUUAUACACAGACUUCCUAGUGGUGGCUUGAUAAUAUCUAAGGAUUUUUAUUCACUAGGAUGUUCAAGGUCUCAUGGUUAAUUAGACUAGUAUGGCUAAAGUUCUAUUUGCUGGUAGUGGUAGUAUGGUAGAAUGAAAAGGAUUUAGGGCAGAGAACUCCUUAUAGGUUGUGUUGGGUUUAUUUUGCAAUUUCUUUAUUUUUAUUGUAAUCUAUCUAUCUAUCUAUCUAAGUUUAC